rnacentral:rRNA from 1 species
GCUAUUUAGGUUAGAGUUUGAUCCUGGCUCAGAGCGAACGCUGGCGGCAGGCUUAACACAUGCAAGUCGAGCGGGCGUAGCAAUACGUCAGCGGCAGACGGGUGAGUAACGCGUGGGAACAUACCUUUUGGUUCGGAACAACACAGGGAAACUUGUGCUAAUACCGGAUAAGCCCUUACGGGGAAAGAUUUAUCGCCGAAAGAUUGGCCCGCGUCUGAUUAGCUAGUUGGUGAGGUAACGGCUCACCAAGGCGACGAUCAGUAGCUGGUCUGAGGGGAUGAUCAGCCACAUUGGGACUGAGACACGGCCCAAACUCCUACGGGAGGCAGCAGUGGGGAAUAUUGGACAAUGGGCGCAAGCCUGAUCCAGCCAUGCCGCGUGAGUGAUGAAGGCCCUAGGGUUGUAAAGCUCUUUUGUGCGGGAAGAUAAUGACGGUACCGCAAGAAUAAGCCCCGGCUAACUUCGUGCCAGCAGCCGCGGUAAUG